rnacentral:lncRNA from 1 species
UUGCCCUGGCAGCCUCCUCCUCAGCUGGUGGGUUUGGCCAGGCAGAGGAUGAACCACUCCUGCCUCCUGCUGCACUCCCUGCUCCUUCUCACACCUGCUCUGUUGUGUCUGAAGCACAACCCCUUCAGCUCAGCCCUGAACAGAAGAGAGCAUUAAUUAAGAUAUUUGUUCCUAAUUAAGGUAUUAAGGUAUUGCCAUAACACCAACAAAGAGCACGGCUUUAUUCUCUCUCUGCUUAUGGGUUUUGUAGCAUUGGGUGCAGGUGGUGAGGUGACACUACCAUCCCAAAAACACCUCCAGAGAGGAGAGUGUCUGGGCUACAAUCACACUCACACACACUCACUCACAGACACACACACUCACUCACAGACACACACACUCACACACACUCACGGACGCACACUCACUCACACACACUCACACACAUACACACACACUCACUCACACACAUACACACAGACACACUCACUCACAGACACACACACACACACUCACUCACGGACGCACACUCACUCACACACACUCACACACAUACACACACUCACUCACGGACGCACACNACACACACUCACUCACGGACGCACACUCACUCACACACACUCACACACAUACACACACUCACUCACGGACGCACACACUCACAGACACACACACACACUCACUCACGGACGCACACACACUCACACACACUCACACCCUCACGGACGCACACACACACUCACUAACACACAUACACACACACACACUCACUCAUGGACGCACACUCACACACACUCACUCACAGACACACACACUCACUCACACACAUACACACACACUCAUGGACGCACACACACACUCACACACACACACUACAUACACUCACACUCUCACACACACACUCACACACACUCACUCACAGAUGCACACUCACACACACACACACUCACUCACGGAUGCACACUCACGCACACUCACGCACACACACACACUCUCACACACACACACACUCACUCACUCACGGAUGCACACUCACGCACACGCACACUCACGCACACACACACACUCACACACUCACACACACACUCACACACUCACACUCACACACCACAGACAGCUGAGCGACAGCCCAGAGCCAGGAAAGGUCUCUGUAUGGAGCUCCCAUGGGGUUCAUUGCAGCCACACACUGAAGGGGCCUAGGAACAAAGCCAGCGAGCAAUGGAGGGGCCAGG